rnacentral:rRNA from 1 species
UACGUAGGUGGCAAGCGUUAUCCGGAAUUAUUGGGCGUAAAGCGCGCGCAGGCGGUCCUUUAAGUCUGAUGUGAAAGCCCACGGCUCAACCGUGGAGGGUCAUUGGAAACUGGGGGACUUGAGUGCAGAAGAGGAGAGCGGAAUUCCACGUGUAGCGGUGAAAUGCGUAGAGGUGUGGAGGAACACCAGUGGCGAAGGCGGCUCUCUGGUCUGUAACUGACGCUGAGGCGCGAAAGCGUGGGGAGCGAACAGG